rnacentral:rRNA from 1 species
CAUGCAAGUCGAGCGGACAGAAGGGAGCUUGCUCCCGGAUGUUAGCGGCGGACGGGUGAGUAACACGUGGGUAACCUGCCUGUAAGACUGGGAUAACUCCGGGAAACCGGAGCUAAUACCGGAUAGUUCCUUGAACCGCAUGGUUCAAGGAUGAAAGACGGUUUCGGCUGUCACUUACAGAUGGACCCGCGGCGCAUUAGCUAGUUGGUGGGGUAAUGGCUCACCAAGGCGACGAUGCGUAGCCGACCUGAGAGGGUGAUCGGCCACACUGGGACUGAGACACGGCCCAGACUCCUACGGGAGGCAGCAGUAGGGAAUCUUCCGCAAUGGACGAAAGUCUGACGGAGCAACGCCGCGUGAGUGAUGAAGGUUUUCGGAUCGUAAAGCUCUGUUGUUAGGGAAGAACAAGUGCGAGAGUAACUGCUCGCACCUUGACGGUACCUAACCAGAAAGCCACGGCUAACUACGUGCCAGCAGCCGCGGUAAUACGUAGGUGGCAAGCGUUGUCCGGAAUUAUUGGGCGUAAAGGGCUCGCAGGCGGUUUCUUAAGUCUGAUGUGAAAGCCCCCGGCUCAACCGGGGAGGGUCAUUGGAAACUGGGAAACUUGAGUGCAGAAGAGGAGAGUGGAAUUCCACGUGUAGCGGUGAAAUGCGUAGAGAUGUGGAGGAACACCAGUGGCGAAAGGCGACUCUCUGGUCUGUAACUGACGCUGAGGAGCGAAAGCGUGGGGAGCGAACAGGAUUAGAUACCCUGGUAGUCCACGCCGUAAACGAUGAGUGCUAAGUGUUAGGGGUUUCCGCCCCUUAGUGCUGCAGCUAACGCAUUAAGCAC